UCCACACACCCAUCCCGUGCGCUGCGCAAACUUCACAUCACAUCAGGCAAGAAAGUAAAAGUUUCAAAGAGAAAUGGGGAGAAAGAAGCACCCUCAUCGUAGUAAAACCCUCUACAUCCUUCGCGGUUUGCCUGGCACAGGGAAGAGCGAAAUAGCACGGAAACUGAAGGAGCGACUUGGUGGGGAGAUCAUCAGCGCGGAUGAUUAUCAUCGCGACGAGCAUGGAGAAUUAAACGGUAUCAAACCUGAAAGACUUAAUGAAGGACAUGUAUGGGCACGAUAUACGGCUCUACAGGCUAUGGAGCACGGACUGGAUCCAAUCAUCAUUGACAACACCAACAUGGCACGAUGGGAGAUGUACCCUUAUGUACUGAUGGUAUGGUCCUCCUGAUGUUUCACAUGAUAGUGCUUUGUUGUAGCCUCUUUGUGCAGAUGGGUCCGCUGGCCUCCGCCGGCUGGCCUGGUCCCCCUUUUUACUGAAAACUCUCACAUUAUAACAGCAUGGCUAGCAUUACAGAGACCCCUUUGUGCCGAGCCCCUGUUACUGUAUAGCCUAACUGUCACCACAAUUGUAAUGCACAUGUCUCUUAAUCAGUUAUUUCAGGCUCUCUGUACAGUCACAGCAUUGUUAUGAUGUAAUUGAGUCUUUUCAUCAAAGAGAAAACGGACAAGCCAGUAGGCCCAUCUGCACAAAGAGGCUACGCAAGAUUUGGUCAUUUCUGGCAAGAAACACCAGCCUGUCAGUAUGUUCUGGCUUCAAGGACGCUAGGUCACCAUUGCCACGAUUAAAUCACGAUUGAAAUCACGACUUCGAUUUCACGAUUUUAUCACGAUUUUCGAUUAUUUUCGAUUAAUUGUGCAGCCCUACAUGCAUCUCUCUCUCUCUCUCUCUCCCUUCCCAUGUCUCUGUUUUGCCGAGGUCAGUCACCAUGUCAAAAUGUCCGAACAUCAUGGUCAAGUUCCUGGGAAAGUCUUGUCGAGUUUACUUUGAUCUUUCCUUUAAUUCCGUAUUAAGAGGUGUUUACAUGAUGUUACAUGAUGUUGGAUGCUACAAUAACUAUAAAUGACUGCAAAAUAAAAUUGGGAGGUCUGUUUCCAGCUUCAGUUUCACAUUUAAGUAGGUUCCACCAAUGGCUCACCAUACUGCUUUUAGACAAGUGCACUUCGCUAGACUAGUGUACUACUCAGUCUAUUCUUUCCAAUGACCAGGAUCUUCUUCUCUGGCCUGUGUGUCGAUUGGCCCUUGAAGCGCCAAUCAUGGCCCCAUUUACUGUAAAGGGUCAUUUUCCCCUCUCCUUUGAGCUCAUUGGUUGAUUGGUUCUGAGCUCCACCAAUAGCCUCCAGCCCUCUUCAUCUAUCGGUUCCAUGUGUAUAUACUGAAUACUAACCCCGCCCAGUUGGGCCCUUGCCAUACUGUCAGACGUUUUUGUGUUCAAUAAAGGUUACAAAAAUAGA